GGAGGAGUUAACAUCUCCUGCUCUGACUGCAGCUGGGACGGACUGCUGUGCGAGGAUUGGGCCGCCUGUGAGUACUUUGAGACGGGGAGGGGCCCACGGUAGCACACGCUGGUCGUUGAGAAGAGUAAGAACGGGAGGGCCAAUUUCAAGUGGAAGGCGUAGAAAUGCUCGGCACUGAUGUGGGUGAGACUACACUGGAAGCAUCAGAGGUUCACAAAAUGCUACAAGAAAGGUGACUUUUCCGUUUUGAUGUGGGACAGAUGGACCUUGAGGAGGACCAAGUAAACACACUGGAAAAUUGUGUAGUUGCCUUUUAUAAAAAUCCGUCUGUAGGCGUACGAAUGGGCUUCUUUGUGCUUGAGUUGUGGGAGAGCUGCAGCGCUACAGAGCAGAGCCCAGCAUCAGCAUUGAUGACUGUCCCCUGCAGUGGUGGUCUGCUCACUCAGGAGCCCUAUGAAAAGCUGUCUGCCCUAGCACGCAAGCAGUGUUGGGUCAUAAUGCUCAGUACUGCAGUUACUCCACCAUGGCAGAGUCCACAAAGGAAAUAAUCAGUGUUGUAACUUUGGACAAGAGGCAGACAGGAUGGUCCUUGGUCAUCAUGGAAAGGGAGGCCUUUAUCCAGACAGUGGAGAAACUUCAUGCCGAGGUUAAACUUGUGGAAUUCUGCACAGAUGCACAUGUCAGGAUUGGAGCCCUAAAGAGUGAGUACUCGUGUAAAUCUUACUGAUAACUGGUUGUACUGUACUAUACUCUAUAAUCCUACGUGUAGUAUCUCACAGUAAUACUGUGGUUCUUUUUCUCUCUUAGACCCAGAGAGAGGAAAAUUUAAAGACUAUGGUAUAAGGCACAGCCUUGACAUGUGGCAGGGUGCCAAGAACCUGGCAAAAAAGAUUGCACAAGUGUUUGCAGUGACUGAGAAUUGUUGUUGUGCCAAAACAUCAAUACUAAUAUUCUCAUGAUCUCCAGGCUGCACUGGUAAAGGGGAAUGGCAUACUCCUCACCUGGUUAAAGGAUAUCAUUAACCAUUUCUGGUGGUGCUGCAAGAAGGCAGACACGGCAGAACAAUUUUUUGCACUAUGGAUUGGAAUUAUACACCAUUGCUGUGGCACUCACACCUGGGCUGUUGGAUCCUGCCAUCAUGAACAUCUGCAAGAAUUCACCCAAAAGGAAACCAUCCAGGAGAACUCUGUGGCACACAAGGCUCUACUGAAUAUCAUUGAGAACAAGAGAUGGCUAAAGGAUGUCCACAAAUAUUUAACGUUCAGGUCGACAGCUGACCUAGAGGCUUUCCAGAGCCACAUUCUAAUGUAUGCCAGCAAGCGCUACGCCUUCUCACUGCCGGUGUAUAAAGCCAGAGUUCUUCUUGCUGCCUUGGAUUACAACUUUAACCUCCGAAGAGC